rnacentral:lncRNA from 9 species
AGGUUUGAUCCCAGGCUUUGCUCAGUGGGUUAAGGAUCUGACAUUGCUGUGAGCUAUGCUGUAGGUCACAGACGUGGCUCAGAUCCUGUGUUGCUGUGGCUGUGGUGUAGGCCGGCACCUGUAGCUUCAAUUCGACCCAUAGCCUGGGAACUUCCUUAUGCCAGUGUGCCCUAAAAAGCAAAAAAAAAAAAAAAAAAAAAAAAAAAGAAAAAGAAAAGAAAAGAAAGAAAGAGAAAGAAAACAGUCCCACUCACAUUUUUUGCAUCAAGAAUAAAAUACCUAGGAAUAAAGUUCACCAAGAAGGUGCAAAGUUUGUAUAUUAAAAACUAUAAGAUAUUAAUGAAAGAAAUUGAAGAAGACACAAAUAAGUGAAAAUAUAUUCCAUGUUUUAUGGAUUGGAAAAAUUAAUAUUAUUAAAAUGUCCAUAGUACCCAAAGCAAUAUACAGAUGCAGUGCAAUUCCUAUCAAAAUUCCAAUGGCAUUUUUCACAGAAAAAUAAGAAAUAGUCUUAAAGUUUGUAUUAGAACCAUGAAAUACCCUGAAUAGCCAAAGAAGUUUUGAAAAAGAAGAACAAAGCUGGAGGCAUCACACACCCUGAUUUCAAACUAUGUUACAAAACUGUAGCGGUUAAAACAAUAUGGUAUUACAUAAAAAUAGACACAUAGAUCAGUAGAAUAGAAUAUGUAGCCCAGAAAUAAACCCACAUAUAUAUGAUCAGUUAAUUUUAUAACAAAGGAGCCAAGAAUAUACAAUGGAGAAAAGACAAUCUCGUCAAUAAAUGGUGUUGGGAAAUUGGACAGCCACAUGUCAAAGAAUGAAACUGGACCACUAUCUUAUACCAUAUACAAAAAUUAACUCAAAAUGAAUUUAAGGCUUGAUUGUAAGACCCAAAACUGUAAAACUCAUAGAAGAAAACAGGCAGUAAGACCUUGACAUAGGUCUUUUUUCUUUUUACGGCCACACUUGUGGCAUAAGGAGGUUCCCAGGCUAGGGUUUGAAUCAGACUGCAGCUGCAGCCUACCAGGAACACCAGAUAUGAACCACAUCUGUGACCUACUCAUCAGCUUGUAGCAACGAUGGAUCCUUCACCCUCUGAUCAGUGGGUUAAGGAUCUGGCAUUUUUGCCAUGAUCUGUGGUAUAGGUUACAGACAUGGCUUGGAUCUGGUGCUGUGGCCAUGGCUUAGGCCAGUGGCUGCAGCUCCAAUUCGACCCCUAGUCUGGGAAACUCCAUAUGCCGUGGGUGUGGCCCUAAAAAGACAAAAAAAAAAAAAAAAAAAAAA